UCCUGACUGACCGAUAGUGAACCAGUACCGUGAGGGAAAGGCGAAAAGAACCCCGGCGAGGGGAGUGAAAAAGAACCUGAAACCGUGUACGUACAAGCAGUGGGAGCACGCUUAGGCGUGUGACUGCGUACCUUUUGUAUAAUGGGUCAGCGACUUAUAUUCUGUAGCAAGGUUAACCGAAUAGGGGAGCCGAAGGGAAACCGAGUCUUAACUGGGCGUUAAGUUGCAGGGUAUAGACCCGAAACCCGGUGAUCUAGCCAUGGGCAGGUUGAAGGUUGGGUAACACUAACUGGAGGACCGAACCGACUAAUGUUGAAAAAUUAGCGGAUGACUUGUGGCUGGGGGUGAAAGGCCAAUCAAACCGGGAGAUAGCUGGUUCUCCCCGAAAGCUAUUUAGGUAGCGCCUCGUGAAUUCAUCUCCGGGGGUAGAGCACUGUUUCGGCAAGGGGGUCAUCCCGACUUACCAACCCGAUGCAAACUGCGAAUACCGGAGAAUGUUAUCACGGGAGACACACGGCGGGUGCUAACGUCCGUCGUGAAGAGGGAAACAACCCAGACCGCCAGCUAAGGUCCCAAAGUC
rnacentral:rRNA from 1 species